GCAAGACGUCCCAGAGGAUCCAGUCGAUGCACCAAUACAAAAAUACCUUUCGAGGGGACGUAAACAUUAUAUCACAACAAUAACGAACGAAGGAAAGAGAUACCAAUAACUGGGUGCCAAGAAGACAGCUGCUCCUCUUUUCCAAAAGGAGGAGGCGCACAACGUCUUUGGGACAACUGCUGUUGCAUGCAGUCAUCUGCAGAGGUUACUGUAUGAAGCUUUUAAGGCCUUUUUGAAUGAUCGGCCACUCGAUGGGGAUUCACCGAGGAGCUCUCACCUGUGUCGCCUCCUGCCCUCCGGCCCGCCGCCUGCCCUCCCUCUUCUGCACCUCCUCCACACACAUCAUGAAACUGGUAUUAACUGAAUGGCAAUUGAUAUGGAUUUUUACUGAUUCCAGUAGACAGUGAAGCAACAAAAACACAAAAAGGGAGGAAAAGCCAUAUCUCAUUUUCACACGUCCUUCUUUACACCAAAUAAACCUGCCUGUGGGGUGCUGUUCUAGGCUGCCUGCACAGGCCCUCCCUGAAAACAACACCUCUCUGGAAAACACCAGGAAUGUAUUGUACGCUUUGAGAGAUUCUUCCUCCUACCUGAUUACCUCGUUUGAGGACAUCGACGGCAGAGGGAGCUAUACUUUGAGGACCAGCUCACAUCAGGCGCCACCAAGCCACCGGUGUAUGCAUACAGAUCCUUUUUAAUUUUUUUUUAUAUAUAUAUUGUUUUUCUCUGGAGCCUGAAGCGCUGUGCGUUUGGCUGUGUGCAUGCCGAAGAAGAAGAAAAUGGCUCCCCAGAACUCUGAGGCAGAUGCUAUGCAAGUGCAGGGGGUGAUGGUGGUCCCUACUGCUAAGAAAACCACCACAGGCUCUGCUGCCACAGGGGAUAGAGGAGGAGGAGGUGGAGAAGGUGUGGUGCUGGAGUCAUGCCAGGAGGAGUCGGUGAGCGAGGGGUCUAUAGACCGGAUCCCCCUGCAGCAGUGGGUGAUGCAUGGAGCCGUCAUGUUCGGACGAGAGUUCUGCUACGCCAUGGAAACGGCCUUGGUUACGCCUGUACUGCUGCAAAUAGGUGAGAGAGAUAUGAGACGGCACUGUGCAGAAGCAUGAACAUUGUACACAUAUAAACACCUGCACGCACACACACAGAAUCCAGAAUUAUAGGGACGACCCGCGUGACAGGUAGGUGAAUUCCCAUACUGUACACAUGCUGUUGAAGCUGUAAAGACAGCACAUCCCAACCAUCGUAAACACUGGAUAACAAUUCAAGGCAUGUUGUCAUCAUUCCUGCUCCCUUCCUGUGUCCCUGUCACAUUCACAGCCCUAAUAACAGGCCUGCCUAGGAAAGAGAAGGCUGAGGUUAGGGCUGUGGUGAACAUGACAUUUUGUCAGCCGGUUAUUGUCAUGCAAAAGGCUGCCGGUCUCGCAGUAAUUGACCGUUAAUUAACAUAAACGCGUUUAGCGUUUAUGCUCGCCUUUGGAACAUCUACAUUUAAAAAAGUCUAAUAAAUCAAUUGAA